AAGCGCGCUUCAUGAAGUCGCUGACUUCAUAACAGUGAUCAUUGUUUUGACAAGUUUUGUUAAGAUAUAUUGAUUAAUGGUUGAUAGAUAUUGAUUGACUUAAUCAUUUAGCACAUGAGAACAACAAAGAUACUGCAUGAACACGAGAGCAAACCGGAGCAAACAGAUAAAACAAGUAAAAGGCUAACCUGGAAAUACUAAAGAGCUAUACCGGCUACAUAAAUCGAAUAACAUCAAAACCUCAUCAAACUAUAUGAUUCGUGGCCGAGUAUUUCUUCUAUGGAUCUAAGAGGAACAACCUUUACGAUUUACGAACACGCCCCUUACAGACAAGUUGUCUACUGAUUUUCUGUUGAGUGAAAUCCGUUUUGGCUUGGAAUCCUAGCGGAAAUAUGUUGACUUGCACUAUUGAAAGGAUGUAGCAAAAGCUCGUUCGCUAAGUUUAUGACUUAUGUUAUUAUAUUAUGUUAUUAUGGCAGAUAAGUGUGGAAAUCAAAGCAGAAUUAAGACUUUCAUGUAUGAUUUCUGCUCUUAUCAAAUGUCUUAAGAAUUGGUAUAGUGGUUCGGCAAUUUGUCUCACUUUAACAGUCAUCCAAAAUUCGCUCAUGGCUGGUGAACCUCUUUAACUGUAUUCAAGAAAAGCCGGACCACACAAGAAAACCGAGGAGCUUGUAUUUAAUUAAAAAUAUCCGUGUUAUUU